UGGCUUAGUCAGUAGAGCAUGAGACUCCUGAUCUCUGAGUUGUGGGGUCAAGCCCCAC
rnacentral:tRNA from 1 species